rnacentral:rRNA from 1 species
UCAUCUUCGGGGGUAGAGCACUGUUUCGGCAAGGGGGUCAUCCCGACUUACCAACCCGAUGCAAACUGCGAAUACCGGAGAAUGUUAUCACGGGAGACACACGGCGGGUGCUAACGUCCGUCGUGAAGAGGGAAACAACCCAGACCGCCAGCUAAGGUCCCAAAGUCAUGGUUAAGUGGGAAACGAUGUGGGAAGGCCCAGACAGCCAGGAUGUUGGCUUAGAAGCAGCCAUCAUUUAAAGAAAGCGUAAUAGCUCACUGGUCGAGUCGGCCUGCGCGGAAGAUGUAACGGGGCUAAACCAUGCACCGAAGCUGCGGCAGCGACACUAUGUGUUGUUGGGUAGGGGAGCGUUCUGUAAGCCUGUGAAGGUGUGCUGUGAGGCAUGCUGGAGGUAUCAGAAGUGCGAAUGCUGACAUAAGUAACGAUAAAGCGGGUGAAAAGCCCGCUCGCCGGAAGACCAAGGGUUCCUGUCCAACGUUAAUCGGGGCAGGGUGAGUCGACCCCUAAGGCGAGGCCGAAAGGCGUAGUCGAUGGGAAACAGGUUAAUAUUCCUGUACUUGGUGUUACUGCGAAGGGGGGACGGAGAAGGCUAUGUUGGCCGGGCGACGGUUGUCCCGGUUUAAGCGUGUAGGCUGGUUUUCCAGGCAAAUCCGGAAAAUCAAGGCUGAGGCGUGAUGACGAGGCACUACGGUGCUGAAGCAACAAAUGCCCUGCUUCCAGGAAAAGCCUCUAAGCAUCAGGUAACAUUAAAUCGUACCCCAAACCGACACAGGUGGUCAGGUAGAGAAUACCAAGGCGCUUGAGAGAACUCGGGUGAAGGAACUAGGCAAAAUGGUGCCGUAACUUCGGGAGAAGGCACGCUGAUAUGUAGGUGAAGUCCCUCGCGGAUGGAGCUGAAAUCAGUCGAAGAUACCAGCUGGCUGCAACUGUUUAUUAAAAACACAGCACUGUGCAAACACGAAAGUGGACGUAUACGGUGUGACGCCUGCCCGGUGCCGGAAGGUUAAUUGAUGGGGUUAGCGGUAACGCGAAGCUCUUGAUCGAAGCCCCGGUAAACGGCGGCCGUAACUAUAACGGUCCUAAGGUAGCGAAAUUCCUUGUCGGGUAAGUUCCGACCUGCACGAAUGGCGUAAUGAUGGCCAGGCUGUCUCCACCCGAGACUCAGUGAAAUUGAACUCGCUGUGAAGAUGCAGUGUACCCGCGGCAAGACGGAAAGACCCCGUGAACCUUUACUAUAGCUUGACACUGAACAUUGAGCCUUGAUGUGUAGGAUAGGUGGGAGGCUUUGAAGUGUGGACGCCAGUCUGCAUGGAGCCGACCUUGAAAUACCACCCUUUAAUGUUUGAUGUUCUAACGUUGACCCGUGAUCCGGGUU